GACAACGAUGGAUAGGGGUUCUGAGAGGAAGGUCCCCCACACUGGAACUGAGACACGGUCCAAACUCCUACGGGAGGCAGCAGUGAGGAAUAUUGGUCAAUGGACGAGAGUCUGAACCAGCCAAGUAGCGUGAAGGAUGACUGCCCUAUGGGUUGUAAACUUCUUUUAUAUGGGAAUAAAAUGUUCCACGUGUGGGAUUUUGUAUGUACCAUAUGAAUAAGGAUCGGCUAACUCCGUGCCAGCAGCCGCGGUAAUACGGAGGAUCCGAGCGUUAUCCGGAUUUAUUGGGUUUAAAGGGAGCGUAGGUGGAUUGUUAAGUCAGUUGUGAAAGUUUGCGGCUCAACCGUAAAAUUGCAGUUGAAACUGGCAGUCUUGAGUACAGUAGAGGUGGGCGGAAUUCGUGGUGUAGCGGUGAAAUGCUUAGAUAUCACGAAGAACUCCGAUUGCGAAGGCAGCUCACUGGACUGCAACUGACACUGAGGCUCGAAAGUGUGGGUAUCAAACAGGAUUAGAUACCCUGGUAGUCCACACAGUAAACGAUGAAUACUCGCUGUUUGCGAUAUACAGUAA
rnacentral:rRNA from 1 species